AAAUUGCUAUACGCACUGCAUAACACAAAUAAAGAGAAUUUUCGAUUGUUUUUCUGUUUUCUGGAUUUUAAAUUUGGACAAGAGAACUGCUCCGUAUGCCCGCCAAUAAGUUUCGAGGAUUUCGUGGCAGAGCGGAGCAUUAAAUUUAAACAAAAACAAUUCCAAAACGCAAAAAAAGGAAACAAAACAAUUCAAAGCGUUUAAAUAGGAUCUAGCUUGUAGGUAUAAAGUCUACUAAUUAAGUGUCUGCCUUGGCUGUGAAGUACGAACAGAAGCCACUGACAGAAGCUCAAAAUGUAUGGCAUUGCGAUGGUGCUUUUGUGAGUACGUGCGUUAAAAAUUAAAUUUAUUCAAACUUUAUUUAAACAAAGAGUUGAUGAUUGAUAUUCGAGUGCUGUACACCCGACGAACAGAGGCGAGUGCAGAGUGAAAUUAUCUAGAUUUGAGGAACCUCACAACGAAAUAACUUAAGCUACGAAGGUUCGAGGCUACGGACAAGACUGAGGGAAUGCAACUCACCUGGUCGGUGGAGGGGAGUACCGACCGUCGACCUCAUCGGCAUCCGUUUCCUUCUGUUCGCCAUGGAUGACGGCCAGGCCAAGACGCAGUCGCUCGGCGUAAGAGUUCGCCUUCUUGGCCACACCCGGGUUG